CUCCCGAUUCUCUCUCUCUCUCCCGCGUCCCUCUUCCUCCUUCUCCGAUUUGCAGACGCGGAGCAGCCGCCACAGACCACGGCCAGCCCCGAGACCGGACCCAAAACGACCGGCCAGACCUCGCCGACGUCCCCCGACCCAUCUCCAGCCGUCAGCCGCCGCCUCGUCGCCGGAAAACCCGAAUUUCAGGCCGAUCCUUGUCUGAGCUUCCAGUCGAUCGUUCUCUCUCCUCCGAGCACUAUUUCAGACGGGUGAGGUAUCUCGACUGCACGCACGCAGCAAGCAGGACCUUCACGUGGUCAGGCAGCGAGGGAAUACUUCCAGUAGUUGCUCCUGGAAGUACAAGUGGUGUCUGCAGCGGAGUCAGUGCAUCUUUAUAAUUAAGAACUGUGUAAAUUCUUAUACUUGACUGUUCUUGUAAUCUAAAUUCAGUAGAUGCUCUGUAUGCCAUGGUAGAUUUUACUUGUGAGGCCGGAGGCCACUCUAGUAUGACUUGUGUGUGUAUGAAAGCAUGCUGCUGGUUGGGAUUAGUAUUACUGUGUGUUGCAGGUUGAAUAAAUUUUGUUGGGAUUGCUUAAA